GGGGAAUAUUGCACAAUGGGCGAAAGCCUGAUGCAGCAACGCCGCGUGAGCGAUGAAGGCCUUCGGGUCGUAAAGCUCUGUCCUUGGGGAAGAAAAAAAUGACGGUACCCUUGGAGGAAGCCCCGGCUAACUACGUGCCAGCAGCCGCGGUAAUACGUAGGGGGCGAGCGUUAUCCGGAAUUAUUGGGCGUAAAGAGUGCGUAGGUGGUUACCUAAGCGCAGGGUUUAAGGCAAUGGCUCAACCAUUGUAUGCCUUGCGAACUGGGCUACUUGAGUGCAGGAGAGGAAAGCGGAAUUCCUAGUGUAGCGGUGAAAUGCGUAGAUAUUAGGAGGAACACCAGUGGCGAAGGCGGCCCCCUGGACAAAGACUGACGCUCAGGUGCGAAAGCGUGGGGAGCAAAC
rnacentral:rRNA from 1 species